rnacentral:rRNA from 1 species
AUUGAACGCUGGCGGCAUGCCUUACACAUGCAAGUCGAACGGCAGCACGGGAGCUUGCUCCUGGUGGCGAGUGGCGAACGGGUGAGAAAUACAUCGGAACGUACCCAGUAGUGGGGGAUAACGCACCGAAAGGUGCGCUAAUACCGCAUACGACCUACGGGUGAAAGCGGGGGACCGUAAGGCCUCGCCCUAUUGGAACGGCCGAUGUCUGAUUAGCUAGUGGGCGGGGUAAUAGCCCACCAAGGCGACGAUCAGUAUCUGGUCUGGGACGACGAUCAGCCACACUGGGACUGAGACACGGCCCAGACUCCUACGGGAGGCAGCAGUGGGGAAUUUUGGACAAUGGGGGCAACCCUGAUCCAGCAAUGCCGCGUGUGCGAAGAAGGCCUUCGGGUUGUAAAGCACUUUUGUCAGGGAAGAAAUCUUUCAGGCUAAUACCCUUGGAAGGAUGACGGUACCUGAAGAAUAAGCACCGGCUAACUACGUGCCAGCAGCCGCCGUAA